AUUUAAAUAGCUUAAAUUUAAAGCAUAACAUUGAAGAUGUUAGGAUGAUAAUUUUAUCUUUAAAUA
rnacentral:tRNA from 1 species